rnacentral:rRNA from 1 species
AAUCACUGUCUUUUAAAUGAAGACCCGUAUGAAAGGCAUCACGAGAGUUUAACUGUCUCUACUUUCUAAUCAAUGAAAUUGAUCUCUCCGUGCAGAAGCGGGGAUAAAAACAUCAGACGAGAAGACCCUAUGGAGCUUCAAACACUUAAAUUAAUUAUGUAAAAUAUAAUAUUCCAAGGAUAUAAACAAAUAAUAUAAUAUUUCUAAUUUAACAUGUUUUUGGUUGGGGUGACCAAGGAGAAAAACAAAUCCUCCUGAUCGAUUGAGUAUUCAAAUACUUAAAAAUCAGAAUAACUAUUCUGAAUGAUAAUACAUUUAUCGAAAUAUGACCCAGGACUUACCUGAGCAAUGAACCAAGUUACCCUAGGGAUAACAGCGCAAUCCUUUCCCAGAGUCCUAUCGACGAAAGGGUUUACGACCUCGAAGUUGGACAUGAUCUG